rnacentral:rRNA from 1 species
GAUCAAGCUACAAAGGGCAUAUGGUGAAUGCCUUGGCACCAGUAGCCGAUGAAGGACGUGAUAAGCUGCGAUAAGCUUCGGGUAGGCGCAAAUAGCCUGUGAUCCGGAGAUUUCCGAAUGGGGAAACCUGCAUACCUAACGGUAUGUACCAUAAACUGAAUACAUAGGUUUAUGGGGGUAUACCCGGGGAACUGAAACAUCUAAGUACCCGGAGGAAGAGAAAGAAAAAUCGAUUUUCUUAGUAGCGGCGAGCGAAAAGGAAAG